rnacentral:rRNA from 1 species
AGCAGCCGCGGUAAUUCCAGCUCCAAUAGCGUAUAUUAAAGUUGUUGCAGUUAAAAGGCUCGUAGUUGAAUUUCGGGAUCAAUAUGUUGGUCGUGCCUUGGUACGUACUGGCAUUAUCGAUUUCUACCUUCUGAAGAACCUCGAUGUCAUUAAUUUGGUGUCUUGGGGAAUCAGGACUGUUACUUUGAAAAAUUAGAGUGUUUAAAGCAGGCUCGCGCUUGAAUACAUUAGCAUGGAAUAAUGAAAUAGGACGUUUGAUUCUAUUUUGUUGGUUUCUAGGAUCGGCGUAAUGAUUAAUGGGGGAUAGUUGGGGGCAUUAGUAUUCAAUUGUCAGAGGUGAAAUUCUUGGAUUUAUUGAAGACUAACUACUGCGAAAGCAUUUGCCAAGGAUGUUUUCAUUAAUCAAGAACGAAAGUUAGGGGAUCGAAGACGAUCAGAUACCGUCGUAGUCUUAACCAUAAACUAUGCCGACUAGGGAUCGGGAUGAUGUUUAAUUUUUAAUGUACUCA